rnacentral:rRNA from 1 species
CUUGGUCAUUUAGAGGAAGUAAAAGUCGUAACAAGGUUUUCCGUAGGAGAACCCUGCGGAAAGGAUCAUUAAUGGAUUUUCAAUAAAGGGGUUCGUGGGUAGUGCUGGCCUUCCUUUUGGUUGGCAAGUGCACACCUACCUUCCCUGAUUAUCCUCUUUUACCACUGUGAACCUUUAGGUAGGGCUGGAAACGGCUCUAUGUUUUUUACACGCUAUGUAUGACCUUUGAAUGUUUUUACUUCUAGUAUGCUCGAAAGGGCAGAAAGAAUAAAAUAAAUACAACUUUCAACAACGGAUCUCUUGGCUCUCCCAUCGAUGAAGAACGCAGCGAAAUGCGAUAAGUAAUGUGAAUUGCAGAAUUCAGUGAAUCAUCGAAUCUUUGAACGCACCUUGCACCCUUUGGUAUUCCGAAGGGUAUGCCUGUUGAGUGUCAUUAAUAUCUCAACCGUUGGCUUGGGUUUGUCCUGCUGAUGGCUUGGAUUGAGGGUGUGUGUCGUCACUUGAACACUUGCUGUUGAGACGGUCGACUCCCUUAAAAGCAUUAGUGGGUAGAUCUAGUUGUGAUAUGCCCGAUUGAUAACUAUCAUAUGUCGUGCGAUGAACAAUGAGAACCUGCUUCUAACUGUCCUUGACAAGGACUGCUCCAGUUUGGAGUAUUAGAGUCGUUGCCUCUGGCUUGACUUGUAAACAAAUAUUUGACCUCAAAUCAGGUAGGACUACCCGCUGAACUUAAGCAUAUCAAUAAGCGGAGGA